UGAGGCACUUAAAAUGUUAUUUGAUAAAGAAUAAGUACCAGUAACAGCAUUUUACAUUUUCUAGACGAAUCAUUGCUUUUGUCAUCUAAUUUUCAUAGCAUUAAUGCUGUGCCCUUAUGCCAUGUACUAUGAUGUUGCCUAAAAGUAUUUCAGCAAUAAACCAAUGACAUAAAAGUUAACUUUACACAACAUGGUGGAUCUUGAAAAUAUUUGUUACUAUUUUUGGUUUUUUUUUUUUUUUUUUUUUUGGUGGAGUCUUGCUCUGUCGCAGAGGCUGGAGUGCAAUGGCACGAUCUCCACUCACUGCAACCUCCGCCAACACUGAUAGUCCACCGGUUUUUUUUUUUUUUUUUUUUUUUUUUUUAGCUAAGUCUUGUUCUGUCACACAGGCUGAAGUGCAGUGGUGCAAUCACAACUCGUGGCUGCCUUGACCUCCCAGGUUCAAGCAAUCCUCUCACCUCAGCCUCCUAAGUAGCUGAGAUGACAGGUGCAUACCAUUAUGCCUGGCUAAUUUUUUGAUUUUUUUUUUUUUUGGAGAGACAGAAUCUCCCUUUGUGGCCCAGACUGACCUCAAACCCCUGGGCUCAAAGUGUCCUCCCAUCUCAGCCUCCCAGAGUGCUGGGUUUACAAGGGUGAGCCACUGUGUCCCUUUUUUUCUUCUAGUGGUUGUGAUAUUAUAUAACAUUGUCCCUUUAAUAUGUGUUCUUUACAUUAUAAUGAGCUUGGAUGUAUUUAUACAUACAAAAACAUUUUAUGUUUUAGUGGUGGUACUUGAAAUUAAAUGAUGGUACAUACACAGGAAUCACAUCUGUGCUCAAAUCAUCUCAUCCCUGAGUUCAGCACUGCAGUGGAAGCACCAUUAUUAUAGAGGGUAAGUGAUGUUUGUAGACUUUCACACAAUGCAGCCAAUGUAGGUUCAAAGCUAUGGUAAAACUUUGAGUUGGUAAAAAGAGUUGGUAAGAUGAAAGAGAAACAAUUUUAGAAGAGAAAACUCUGCAAUGGGUCAAGUAAGAAUUUCAAAGAGAAAUGACUCCAUCCAUUUUCCCUAAAGGUAAUAGUACAGGAGGGCUUUUGAAAGGUAGGGAAUAAGCUUGACUAAUGACAUUUGUAAUGCACUGCCUAUUUUAAAU
rnacentral:lncRNA from 1 species